GAUACUGACUGUUACUUUUGAUUUUGACCCCCCCUUUGUUCAGGGACACAUUAUUCAAUUUAUGUUAGUCACAUGUCUGUGGAACUUGUUUAGUUUAUGUCUCAGUUGUUGAAUCUUGUUACGUUCAUACAAAUAUUUACACAUGUUAAGUUUGCUGAAAAUAAACGCAGUUGACAGUGAGUACAGUUUAUUUGACAUAGUUUGUUCAUUGACCUUCAAGAAAAUGUUUGCCUUACCUGGCUUUUAGCCUGCAAAGGUGAGUUGUGGUAGGUAAUCUGGAAGGAAGCAGUUGCCAGAGCAGUUAGCUAGCUAGGCCAAUAAUGUCACAUUUGCCAGUAAUUAUUUACUAACUCACACAGGUUGGAUAUCACACAGGUGUGUUUUCUAUUAAUCUUAUUUCAGCAGCGUCUCCACCCUAGAAUAGGAUACAUUUUUUUUAAAUGGCAUACAACGGCCAAGCUCAGUACUUUGUUGCCAUUUCUGAUUUACAUCAAAACACAAUACAUCAUUUCGGGUGGCAGGUAACCUAGUGGUUAGAGCGUUGGGCCAGUAACUGAAAGGUUUCUAGAUUGAAUCCCCAAGCUGACAAAGUAAAAAUCAGUUGUUCUUCCCCUGACCAAGGCAGUUAACCCACUGUUCCUAGGCCGUCAUUGUAAAUAAGAAUUUGUUCUUAACUGACUUGCCUAGUUAAAUAAAAAAAUGUAUGUGAUAUGAUACAAUUGAUACAGUAGCCUAAGUUGUGUGGACUCAUUGUCAUAAGAAAAUCAAUACCAUGAAGUGAAAUAAACUGUCAAGACUACAUAAAUAAUUUUGAAUCGUGACUGUUGUAUUGAUUUGGCUAAAUAGGUUUGAAGCCUACAAAAUGUUGAAAUAUAUAUUGUGUUUUUCAGAGAGUGGCUGGAGUCAUCAUUGGAAAAACUGAUGUCAAAAGCCAUCCAGACAGGAAAAGUAUUGGUUUUGACCAGUGGCGACCCGUCAUUCAUGGCAAAAAAUAUCUAUAUAUAAAAAAUGUUUCGCCUGUUUUGCAUGUUAUUUUGGCAUUAAUACAUGUCACAUAUCAAUUUGCAAACAAUGUAAAAAAAUUUUUUU
rnacentral:lncRNA from 8 species